AGCGUAGACGGUGUGACAAGUCUGAUGUGAAAGGCAUGGGCUCAACCUGUGGACUGCAUUGGAAACUGUCAUACUUGAGUGCCGGAGGGGUAAGCGGAAUUCCUAGUGUAGCGGUGAAAUGCGUAGAUAUUAGGAGGAACACCAGUGGCGAAGGCGGCUUACUGGACGGUAACUGACGUUGAGGCUCGAAAGCGUGGGAGCAAACA
rnacentral:rRNA from 1 species